CAAUAAAUAAUUAUAAUUAAAUAAUUUAAGAGUAACGGGGAGAAGUUGAAUUUGGGCCUUUCUUGGGCCAAAUUCGUUGAUACUUUUUGGGGUUUAACCAAAACCCGUUUUUGGUAUACAGCUGGUGUAUAUCAAUGUAUAUCGGCAUGUAUAUCAGCUCUUUUCGUGUAUCUCCUGCUUCCAAACCCCUGUAUUUUACUUUUGGACCUGUAUAUCGAUAUUCACCAUGUAUACCGGUGUAUACUGUUGUAUGCAGCAUGUAUACUGCCCAUUUUCGGUCUUUCUGUACACCUGUUUUCAAUUUUCAGCUCGUAUAAAAUUGUUGUUGACUCGAUGGAGAAGAUGUUGGGUUUCUUCCCAACCCGUGAUGCAAGGAGAGUAACGAAGGGAGUCCAAUGGACUCGAACCGAGAGGGUUCAUGCAAGAAAAGAAGGAUAAAGAUUAACUAGAGAUAACUUCAAGAGGCAACCAUAUUUUAGUUAGAAUUAACCACGAUAAGAAUCAUUCUUACCCCUUGUAGAUUAUCAUAAAUAAUAGGUAGAAUGAACUCCCUUUGAAAUAAUAUUAGUUCAUAUGGGCGUAAUGUUAAAUCAUCUAAUAGGUUCAAUAGACAUAACUAAAACAAUCUAGACAUUCAACUCAACUGUAGACAAUCAAAAUGAUAUCACAUGUGUAUGAAAUAAAUAUUAUGUAGAGUACAAAUCAUUCUUAACCAAUAUGUUGUUACAUACAAUUUACAGCAAGGCUUUAGACUCUAAUAUUACAUGUAUCAAGUAUUGUAACCAGUGAAGGCACAUAUUAAACAAAUAAAGAAGAAUGAAGGCUGGCAGCCCUCUCCUAGGUAACAUGGAAAUUAUUUGGUCCUCUUGAAUGCCCAGAAAAGCCAUUAGAAGACACAAUACAAAAUUUAUAGGCCACACUUAAUAUAUUACAAGAAAACAAUGUGUUAUAGACCAUAAACCAUCAAGGAAGAAAAGAGACUAUAAUUGUGGUCGUGUUCACGCUAUCAAGAUGUAUUGCAAUGUAUUAUUCUAACUUAAAAAUCACAGCUUCCAACCCGAUUAUUCCAAGAUAAUAACACGAGCAUUAUGAAAAAUAUAUAACUUAUCCCAUUUAAGCUAACCAAGAGGAUAAUUUAAGAAACAAAAUAAGAAGAAGAUGAACACCUUAUGCAAGUUUAGUCCUUUGCAAGACUCAUGCUAAAUCAACAGAAGAUGUUAAUUGGUAUUCAAUUAUUCAUUCAGCAAAUUAAGGACUUAAACCGGAUAUAUGAUGAGUAGAGAAAUUUUAAUGGAAGGCUACAAACUCAAAAGGGGAUAUUGUAGAUCAAAGUCGGGAGCAGAGAUCAAAUACGUUAAUCACAUGAGAUUAGGCUAAUAUUCAAUACUUCCUCUUCAAGAAUAGUAGGACAAACAUAGGGCCAAAAAUAAAAUCUUCUUGAGUUAGUCAAUACUUAAGCUAACAGAGAUAAAUUAAAUAGACAAGGAUUGACUACAUAAUUUCAAAUCACCUAGCAAAUUAACUACAAAAAAAAAACAAUACAAACUGAUUCAAAUUAAGAUGAACUAAAAAAACUAAACAAACUAUAAUAUUAAACGAGCAUAAUACCCAUAAAAUGAAUCAAAGCAUCAUAUACACAAAGAACAAAACUACAGAAUAUUACCUCUUUCGGAGCAGCGACCGAAGACAACGAGAUUGAGAGGACAGAGGUUCUUCCACCACAAAAGCCAAGUACAAAUAGCAAACCAAGAGAAUCUGAGUGGCGACCUUCUCGGAAACUUAGAACAAGAGAGCUAAAUAUAAAAUUUUUAAGUGUAAAGUCACUAUUGCCAAAGAACUCAAACUAGAAAAAACUUCUUUUUUUUUUCC
rnacentral:lncRNA from 1 species